CCUACGGGGGGCAGCAGUGAGGAAUAUUGGUCAAUGGACGAGAGUCUGAACCAGCCAAGUAGCGUGAAGGAUGACUGCCCUAUGGGUUGUAAACUUCUUUUAUAUGGGAAUAAAACGUUCCACGUGUGGGAUUUUGUAUGUACCAUAUGAAUAAGGAUCGGCUAACUCCGUGCCAGCAGCCGCGGUAAUACGGUGGAUCCGAGCGUUAUCCGGAUUUAUUGGGUUUAAAGGGAGCGUAGGUGGAUUGUUAAGUCAGUUGUGAAAGUUUGCGGCUCAACCGUAAAAUUGCAGUUGAAACUGGCAGUCUUGAGUACAGUAGAGGUGGGCGGAAUUCGUGGUGUAGCGGUGAAAUGCUUAGAUAUCACGAAGAACUCCGAUUGCGAAGGCAGUUCACUGGACUGCAACUGACACUGAGGCUCGAAAGUGUGGGUAUCAAACAGGAUUAGAUACCCGAGUAGUC
rnacentral:rRNA from 1 species